GGUGGUCAGUAACCCAGAGAAGACACCGCUGCACACCUUCUUUUGCAACUAUGAUUUGAGUGGCAUGCCUGCUGGAACCAAGUGAAAGAAGGAAGCGAUGCCAGUCACACAAAGGUCGAGUCAGUCCAAUAUGGAAGUGAACUUAGAGAAUGCGGCACUCUGUUUUCUGAAUGCUGUGAACAGGGGCAGAACUGCUACUUGACUGAUGAAUCAGAAAAGGGAGGUCACACUAACAGAUUGUAUUGCUCAAUGGAAUGUGACAUUAGCGAAUCAAAUGAAUCGAGUCCCAUUGGGAGCUCAGAAAGUCGCACUAAUGCUAAUGGUUGCUGCUGUCAAAUAGACAGUGAAAAGAAGUCCUGCUGCAGACCUUCCAAAGUGAAUGAUAGUUCAGCUGGAGGGGUUCUUCGUUAUGCUUUGUACCUGCGUUUUCUGAGCCCCUUUUCCAAUAAAUCAUCAAGAUCG